CGCGUAGGCGGACUCUUAAGUCGGAGGUGAAAGCCCAGGGCUCAACCCUGGAAUUGCCUUCGAUACUGGGAGUCUUGAGUUCGGAAGAGGUUGGUGGAACUGCGAGUGUAGAGGUGAAAUUCGUAGAUAUUCGCAAGAACACCAGUGGCGAAGGCGGCCAACUGGUCCGAUACUGACGCUGAGGCGCGAAAGCGUGGGGAGCAAACAG
rnacentral:rRNA from 1 species